UGGAAGGAAGGGAAGCCCAUCCGAAGUGAAGAGAGCAGGACCCUGUUUGUAAAGAGCUGCAGAGACCACAAGUCAGAGUAAUCCUCUUCCAUGUGGGGGCUGGAGAGGAUUUUCUUGCCAGCUCAGACCUUCUCCGCCACUGAGUCACUCACAACAGGGGAAAGUCACACAGGAGCCCUGAGUGUGUGGUGGCCUUUCCCACUGUACAAAGGCAUUACAAGUGCAGUGAACAUGUGCAAGCCUCUGGCCACAAAUCCAUACUUGUUCAGCACCAGAGAAUCCACUCUGGAGAAAGGUCUUAGGACUGCAGAGAAUGUGGGAAAUUCUUUA
rnacentral:lncRNA from 1 species